UAAAAAAUUAAAAAAAAAAUCUAAUGCAGUUAGGUGGCCUGGGCAGGGGAUUAGCUGGAGCCCCUGGUACAGGUGCAGACCACCUUUUUGCCCUGUUGCCAUGCUCUGGUGAGCCAGCUCGGUGGCUUCUGGAUAGCCUUCCUCAGAGCCUUGAAACUGGCGCAGGGCUGUGAGGCCUGGGUGGGCUCCGGUCCGUCCCUCGGUUUGUCCUUGGGCUGCUCUGUGGCGACCCCGGCGGCUUCCGGAGGCUGGCAGCGGACCCACCCGAACCGCCAGGCAUCCCAGGCCUCUAAUUUUUUUAACAUAACUUCGGCCAGGGUUCUGGGCUCCCCUAAGGUGUCCCGAACCUUAACCCGCAGUGGCGGCUCCUGUGUUUUCUGGCAUUUGCACAGCCUUCGGGGCUGUGGCUGCUCUUGGGGGAGCUGCUGCCAUUUUGAAUGGUGGUGGUGGUGUUUUGAAUGGUGGUGGUGCCCCUUGGAAUGGCGCCUCUCUUGGGGGCCCUCUUGGGGCUGCGGCUGCAUCUGGUCUUGGGGGAGCUCCUGGGGCUGCGGCUGGUCUUGGGGGAGCUCCUGGGGCUGCGGCUGGUCUUGGGGGAGCUCCUGGGGCUGCGGCUGGUCUUGGGGGAGCUCCUGGGGCUGCGGCUGGUCUUGGGGGAGCUCCUGGGGCUGCGGCUGGUCUUGGGGGAGCUCCUGGGGCUGCGGCUGGUCUUGGGGGAGCUCCUGGGGCUGCGGCUGGUCUUGGGGGAGCUCCUGGGGCUGCGGCUGCUCUUGGGGGAGCUCCUGGGGCUGCGGCUGCUCUUGGGGGAGCGGCAGCUUGUUGGCAGUGCCCGGCUCCUUGGGGUGCUCUUGGGAGGGUGGCCUGGAGGGCCCUGAAGAGGACGUCUCCGCUGGUGAGGCAGCCUGGCAAGGGCAGGGGGGAGGAGUCACGCCGGGCCUCUGGGCCGGGCCCAGCUGGCCUGACAGUCAGUCCCAGCCUCCCUAGUACCUUAGACAGGUGAGACCCGGAAAUUGUGGAGAACAGAGUCCGGAUGGUGACUCUCAGCUGCCCUGGCGGGAUUCGGGACCGGGUUAGGCCUCUGGAAGAGCCCCGAGCCAGAGAGCAGGGGAGCAGGGGGGAGGGAGGCGUCCUUUACCUUCCACUUCCACUAGGCUCCCCGGGGUGCUCCUCCCGAAAAGUCUGGGCUCUGAUCUAAGGAAGCAACCCACCGCACUCUGGCCUGCUGGGUGUCCAGGACCAGCCCUCCCUCUCCUCCAGGCCCUUGUGCCCGCCCCCGCCCCCGCCCCUUCCUCCCCUCCCCUCCCCCCUCCCANNNNNNNNNNNNNNNNNNNNNNNNNNNNNNNNNNNNNNNNNNNNNNNNNNNNNNNNNNNNNNNN
rnacentral:lncRNA from 1 species